rnacentral:lncRNA from 1 species
AUGCUGCGCUUGGUGCCUGUUGCUCAAGCAGGCUGCAAAAUGAAUUUCUCCCCAAAAGCUCACAAUCUAAGAUCAGGAAUGAUUCAUGGACUAAAAGAUGUUUUCCAAGAAAUAAUGUUAUAUCUUAGCAAGGAGGAAAAUGUAGAUGUGAAAAACUUCUCUGCUUUCCUGGGGAGCUGCCAGUUUUGUGGGCUUGCCCAUGUGUUGCCCCAAUCCUGCUGCAUCCCACGGCACCAAACCUGCCCUGGGGUGGCCUCGAAGGGGGCUGGGAGAGCAGCCGUGCCUUCACAGCUUCCAGGGGACCAAAAGCACCUGAGCAGCCUCCCAGCUCUGAUGGGACCUCCUUGCAUCCUGGAAAGCACUGGCAGGAAAACCCUGAAGUCGUUGCAGGUCAGACUUUGGGUAUUACAUAAAAAGGAGAUUUGGGCUGUGGACACACGAGCACAUUGCCCUGAGGAUCCCAUAAAUCAACUGACCUGUGAGAGCCGCUUCUUAUCUGCGGCGAAAACCAGCCCAUGCAAGGAGGAAUUGGCUCUUUCCUUCUCUACGAAGAUGCAUGAUCAGACUUCCAUGGCACAUCCAGCUUUGCUCGAAGAGAGAGCCCAAUCGCCUGGAUGCGCUAUGAAAAAAGCAAAGAGAUGUUUCUGCAGUUCUGGUGUUGGGCAGCAGGCUCAUGAAAGCAUUUCCGUAAAUACACUUGGAAAGUACAGAAGUGGGCUUAAGGGAACUGCCAAGCUUUUCUUUCUCCAUCAGCAACUUGGACCCAGAAAGACGAGACAGCCGUCCUAUGUGCAGUCUUUGGGCUCUGUCUUCCUCACUGAGGAAUUUGUGUAA